rnacentral:snoRNA from 1 species
GUUGCUUCACGACUGGAAGGAUGGCCUGAUAAUAAUUGUUUGGUUAUCCUGUAGAGGGAAGCAUAGAUUGCUUUUUAACCAGAAUUAAACAGCAUGGCGCUUUAUUUCACCGCGUCAAUGUUACCUGUCUCCUGGUACAUUU